GCCUGUUUAUCAAAAACAUGGCCUUUUGGUAAUGAUUUAAGGUCUGGCCUGCCCAAUGAGGUGUUAAAUGGCCGCGGUACUCUGACCGUGCAAAGGUAGCAUAAUCAUUAGUUUUUUAAUUGGAAGCUGGUAUGAACGGUCGGACAAGGAAAUAGCUGUCUUUAUUUAAGGAGUAGAAUUUAAUUUUUUAGUAAGAAAGCUAAAAUGGGUUUAAGGGACGAGAAGACCCUAUAGAAUUUUAUAAGUUACUUAUUGGUUGAUUUUAGGUUUAUUUAUUUGAUUUUUAGGUAGAUUAUUUUGUUGGGGUGAUAGAAAAAUUUGUAUAACUUUUUUUAGUUUGUAUUUACUGAUUUGUAAAUUAUUGAUCCACAAUUAGUGAUUAUAAGAUUAAAUUACCUUAGGGAUAACAGCGUAAUUAAUUUGGAGAGUUCUUAUCGAUAAAUUAGUUUGCGACCUCGAUGUUGGAUUAAAAUGAACUUUUGGUGAAGGAGCUAUUAGGUUAAGUCUGUUCGACUUUUAAAAUUUUACAUGAUCUGAGUUCAGACCGG
rnacentral:rRNA from 1 species